GUAUCUUCAUUUCAAAUCUAUAUUCCCUAAUUUGUUAUUUAAUUCAUAAAACUGAAAAAAGAAUGAAAUCAUAUCUUCAUUUGCAUGAAUUUCUUAUUUUCCAGAAAUGGAGUUUGCCGUAAAACCCAUAUCGAUAGAUCUCUUGAUAAUGAGGUUUAUUUCAGUGGUAGCUUGCUAUGUUUCGUACACUUUCAUUUUCAAUUUUGCUAAGUAUAAAUAAUUUAUGGGGUUUGGUUUGUUUGUCAAGUUUGGGAUUUUCAUAUUGGGGAUUUCCUAAAUAUAAGCAAUUUUUCUUUUAACCAGUGAUGAUCCAGUGACAUUGUAACUUAAGCAAUUCAAAGGCUAAUGAUGGUGCAGCCGAUAUGCAUCUUUAUGGAUGCAUCUUUUUUUUGUGUUCCUAUUUUUCUGGUGUAUAUGGAAAAUCAAGGAACUGAGUUUUUUAAACAGGUGAAGGCAGCUAGAGAAAGGUACGCAGAGGUGGAUGUAAUUUUAUUCUAUGGUUUGGUUUGAAAAGUCCCAGCUGUCAAUUGUUUUAAAAUUUGUAGAAUGAAUCGGUUGUGCAGGUGUUGUCUGUUGUAUUGGAGCGUUGCAUGUGCGUGUCAAGGAAGCAAAUUUAAGACAUAGUACAUGGCCUUGAAAUUGAACAGCAAGGAGACAAUUUAUUAAUCUAUCAAUUAUAGUCUUUGUAAAAUCACGGAUCUCAUAUUCUGCCGCGCACUACAAAUGUAUGUUGAUUGCAACUAUAUCCGUUUAGUUUGAGUUCUAAGUAAUUUUUUUUUAACAGCAAAUAUAUUCAGCUCUAGGCACAAGAAGUGCAACCUAGGCGCAGCACAGCAACAUACACCAGAAAAAUCAGCAGCCAGAUUAACAACCCAAGCCCAAACUGAACAAAGCAGAAAAAUACACAGCAACAACAUGCUGGCAGCACCUAAACCGGCAAGCUACUAACAGAAAACCGGAGCAGCAUGCUGACAGCACCUAAACAGAAAAUGCUAAUGACAGAAAAACACCAAAACAUCCACAAACAGAGUAAAAAACACAACCUGCCACUUCCCUAACGGCUAAGGAACUUCCCGGGAACCCAACACCACUCAAAAUACAUACUCGAAAACGCCUUAGUUCGGUACAGGACCCAAUUCCAAGAGAACACUUUAAUUUCAUCCACUACAUCUUCCACCUCCUUUAUUACAUUAUUAAACAACCUAUCGUUCCUAACUCUCUACAACACCCAAAUGGCCGCGUGCCAAAUGAGCGAAAAUCCCCUACAAACCUUCUUUCCUCUCAGGGCCGCAAAACAACACUCCACCUGAGCAAACAUAUUAUGCAGGGUUAUAAAACUAAUCCCACACCAGCUCAAAAUCUUAUCCCACACCCGAGCUGCCAUCCUGCAAUGCACAAACAAAUGAACAGAAGAUUCCUCCACUCCAACACACCAUAUGCAAUCCUUAGAGUUGACUGGUGUGGCGCCAACAUGCCUUCAAACUUAUAGGUAUCUUAACCAAGAAUAUGCAAUACGGAAUUGGAAGCGCUAAACUGGUAGAGAUUUGAUGAUCGCUAACAACUUAGAGUACUUAUGUUGAUAUUUACCAUGACAAAGCUAUGUACUAUGACCGUUUGGGAAAAGUUGUAAUGAGUAUUGUAAUUGGUAGUGUUGGCAUAAUUGUGCUAUCUCCAUACAUCUUUUAUUAGUAAUGUUAAUUUUUCAUUAAAUAGCCAAGUUUGAAUGCAAACUUGAUUAUUUUUUUACAAUCAAACAAAUGCAAACUUACAAGGAUGAGUUAAA